AUUGAACGCUGGCGGCAUGCCUUACACAUGCAAGUCGAACGGCAGCACGGGAGCAAUCCUGGUGGCGAGUGGCGAACGGGUGAGUAAAGUAUCGGAACGUACCUUUCAGUGGGGGAUAACGUAGCGAAAGUUACGCUAAUACCGCAUAUUCUGUGAGCAGGAAAGCAGGGGAGUCGCAAGACCUUGCGCUGAUGGAGCGGCCGAUAUCAGAUUAGCUAGUUGGUGAGGUAAAGGCUCACCAAGGCAUCGAUCAGUAGCUGGUCUGAGAGGACGACCAGCCACACUGGAACUGAGACACGGUCCAGACUCCUACGGGAGGCAGCAGUGGGGAAUUUUGGACAAUGGGGGCGAACCCUGAUCCAGCAAUGCCGCGUGAGUGAAGAAGG
rnacentral:rRNA from 1 species